UCUUUUUCUUUUGCACAGUGUCUGCUCUGAAUGGUUGUUUAGCAGCGGUGUAAUGCAGCCAAGAGGCCUGUUUUAAACAGCAGCACCCUUGAAGUGAAAAUUCUUCUAGGAGCCACUGUCUGUUUCAGGAGCUCAAAAGAUGCAAUUCCCUAACAUUCAGGCUUUUAUGAUGUGCGCUUAGAGGGACCCCUGGGGUUGGCCGAUUGAUGUGACCAGAUCCCCCUCCCUCCCUGAGGUCAUUCAGCCAGCCUUACAUUUGUCAAACAAGAAGCGAGCUUCGGCCACAUUCUGGUGCUGUCCUAGGAGGUCUUGGGGAUUCCCACCAGAGACCAAGCUCUUAACCACUGUGCUUACCAGAAAGUUCCCAGACCAGAGGUUGACUAGAGUGUUGAUCCCCAAUAAACAUUUGCAGCCCAAACUCCAUCACACAUCUGCUUCCAGAAAACUCAACCUAUGCCAGAAGGAGAGGACUGUGAACAUGAUGCUGAGAGAAAGAGAGAACAAGAAAGCUUUGCAGACAACAGGUGUCCCUAAUUGGGCAGCAGGAGAAUUAAGGAGCCCACAGUCAUCUGCCAGGCAGGAGAGCAGGCAGAAUUCUGGAGAGUCAGGAAGACGGGACGAGGCGUGGGUAACCAGAUGGGGUGAUUAAUCUUGAUACUACAUCACUGGGCACUCCUCAUGUGCUCCCUGGGGCAGCAUGUCACGUCAGGGUGUGAGCAGCCUGGAGCCAGCAGGUGAGAGGGCAGGUGAGUAAUUGCACCUGGCUAGGCAGAGGGACUGGCGAAGAGAUGAAAGUGCUGAAGGUAAGUCCUGGUGAUGUCCCAAGGGUCUCCUUCCUUCUUAAGCCAAAGCAUCUCAUGGCAGUUACCACAUCUCUGUGUUUGCGUGAAGCCGGUGCUCAGUUAAUGACUGAAAUAUUAACACGCAAACAAAUCAGUGUUCAAGAGUGCCUGCAGCCUGACCCAGGGAGCAGUGGCGGUUGGCACAGCUAGGUUCUCGGAAAUUGUGGGUGCUGGUUGCUGUGGAAGAAAUGAAUUUCCUGAACCUUUCAGCAUUCAGGCCUCUGGUAAGGGAAGCGAGGGCUGACAGGCACAUUUCCAGCCAAUUUACAUAUAUGUGAAAUUAUUUGACUUGGUACUGAUUUCUUUUCUUGUCAACCAUCCCCCUGCUACAGUUGGCGUGCCAUGUAAAAUUCUACAUUCUUUCUGUCAAUCUGCUCUUUCAGUCUACUCCGCCAACUGUCCCGCAAAUGAAUUUCAGAAACAAAGACCAAUGGUACAGACGACUGUCUUUGCUUAUAGAGGCGUAGAUACCUUGAGCGUCUUUCUUCCACAGACAUAACCUCGUGUCUGAAUCUUGCUGGAAGGGAAAAAACGCACUUAGGAUUUGAGGAAGAAAAGUGACUUCAACUCAAGGGAAGUUCCGGAAUUUAUACAUCUUAG
rnacentral:lncRNA from 1 species